AGUCGAACGGCAGCACAGGGGAGCUUGCUCCCUGGGUGGCGAGUGGCGGACGGGUGAGGAAUACAUCGGAAUCUGCCCAAUCGUGGGGGAUAACGUAGGGAAACUUACGCUAAUACCGCAUACGACCUUCGGGUGAAAGCGUGGGACCGCAAGGCCACGCGCGAUUGGAUGAGCCGAUGUCGGAUUAGCUUGUUGGCGGGGUAAAGGCCCACCAAGGCGACGAUCCGUAGCUGGUCUGAGAGGAUGAUCAGCCACACUGGAACUGAGACACGGUCCAGACUCCUACGGGAGGCAGCAGUGGGGAAUAUUGGACAAUGGGCGCAAGCCUGAUCCAGCCAUGCCGCGUGUGUGAAGAAGGCCUUCGGGUUGUAAAGCACUUUUGUCCGGAAAGAAAAGCUCUCGGUUAAUAGUCGAGGGUCCUGACGGUACCGGAAGAAUAAGCACCGGCUAACUUCGUGCCAGCAGCCGCGGUAAUACGAAGGGUGCAAGCGUUACUCGGAAUUACUGGGCGUAAAGCGUGCGUAGGUGGUUUGUUAAGUCUGAUGUGAAAGCCCUGGGCUCAACCUGGGAAUUGCAUUGGAUACUGGCAGGCUAGAGUGCGGUAGAGGAUGGCGGAAUUCCCGGUGUAGCAGUGAAAUGCGUAGAGAUCGGGAGGAACAUCUGUGGCGAAGGCGGCCAUCUGGACCAGCACUGACACUGAGG
rnacentral:rRNA from 1 species